CACGUAGGGCGCGAGCGUUGUCCGGAAUUAUUGGGCGUAAAGAGCUCGUAGGCGGCCUGUUGCGUCCGCUGUGAAAGCCCGGGGCUUAACCCCGGGUCGGCAGUGGAUACGGGCAGGCUAGAGGUAGGUAGGGGAGAAUGGAAUUCUCGGUGUAGAGGUGAAAUUCGUAGAUAUCGAGAGGAACACCGGUGGCGAAGGCGGCCUUCUGGACAGUGACUGACGCUGAGACGCGAAAGCGUGGGGAGCAAACAGG
rnacentral:rRNA from 1 species